UACAGAGGGGGCAAGCGUUGUUCGGAAUUACUGGGCGUAAAGGGCGCGUAGGCGGCCCGCUAAGUCGAACGUGAAAUCCCUGGGCUCAACCCAGGAACUGCGUCCGAUACUGGCGGGCUUGAAUCCGGGAGAGGGAUGUGGAAUUCCAGGUGUAGCGGUGAAAUGCGCAGAUAUCAGGAAGAACACCGGUGGCGAAGGCGGGUCUCUGGGCAGUAACUGACGCUGAGGAGCGAAAGCGUGGGGAGCGAACAGG
rnacentral:rRNA from 1 species